rnacentral:lncRNA from 1 species
CUCCCACCACUGUGUGAUGAGCAGUUUCUGUUCAGUGAUCACCUAAUCCUCACAAUGGCAAUACCACCAUUUUACAUAUGAGGAAACUGAGACCCAGGGAGGUUAAAUAAGCGUGUCCAUGAUCACAGAGGAAUAGCAGCUCCACGCUUCAGCCCGGGAAUUAGAAUGUAUGAUGCUAAACUACUGUACCUUCACACAGGUUCCUUGGGGAGGCAUGGUUUGAUGGGGGACAGAGUGGACAGGGUGGUAGUAUCAGAGAGGCCUAUGAAGGUUCACGCUUGGUCAAAAGAAAGGAGGAUGAUGAGGCUGUGAACAGACUCCCAGCCCCACUCGUGUUGGAAGGAGUGGUGGCUCCUUCAGAGCAUUUAACUGAGUGAGGCUUUCUUUCCUUUCCCAGGAAGUACAUGUUGGCGGAGCACGCAGAUCAAAUUUCUAUCCAUAACUCUCAGAUCGCAGAGAGUCAAGGACAGAGGAAGCUGGGGUGGCACGUGGAACUGCUGGAGGCUUCGAGAGGCCAGCACAAGGACCUCUGGGAAUUCCACGUGAGCCAUUAUCAUUGCCUCAACCAAAGCCACACCUCCCCUCCCCAACCAGAGCCAGGGUCUCUGCCAACUGGCCAGGGUCCACCUACUGCUCAGGCCCAGGGCCAAGGGGUAGUCCUUGACUCUCUUCCUCUCACCCCUUCAACUCAGUCCUUCAGCUUCUACCUUAAACCUGGCCACCUCUACCCACCCUGCCCACUGCCACCCCCAGCAUCUGUUGCCCAGACUGUUACAGCUGCCAAAGCAGGUCUUACUUCCCUCCUGCUCGCCUAGAGAGUGCUCAUCUUCCAGUGGCAAAUGGGUUCUCUCAACCAAACAUGGUCAGGUCAUUCUUCUGUUCAAUCAAUGUCUCUGAAUGUGUCCAGCAGCAUUCCACACUGGCCAAGUCUCUUCUGUCCCCAAGCUGGUUAUGGGCAGGGGGAGGCAUACUCUGACUAAACAGGAACGUAAGUAGGUAGAACAUGUAAUGCCAGUGGGAAAGUCCUCUCUCAGCAGGUGACAUCUGAACACAGACACGAAGGACGUAAGUGAGGGAGCCGUGCAGGUGUAUCUGAGAGCAAAUGUCUCUGGGGGGGCUGACCUGUGCCUGGAGUAUUUGAGAAGGAGCAAAUGGUGGGGCUGGGGCAGGCAGGGGGUGUGAGGAGGGAAAAGAUGAGGUUUUAGAGGUACACGGGGACGUGAGGCGUGAUUGAGGGGCAAGCAGCUCUUCCGGAGCCAAGCCACAGCAGAAGCUGCACACUGAAUUGAUGGAUAGCUGAAUUAAUGAACACCCUAAUUCAGAUGAGAACUUUCGGAGAGGCGCAAAGGAGGAGAGGCCCCCAGGAGGCAGCUGGACGAACAGGGCUCCUCCCUCUCCUCGCAGAUGAUGAAGCAGCGACUGGCCUGGGAGAUUCGUGCCCUGCAGAGCAGCAAGGAGCAGCUGCUCACCGAAGGUGGGACUCCCGUGCGCGUUGCGGCGGAGCUGGGGCGCCCGCGGAAUCUCCCGGCCCCGCCCCUUACGCCCCGCCCACCCACAGAGAGGCAGGCGCGGGCGAAGCUGGAGGAGGUUGAGCAGCGGCUGCGCUCGCCGCCCGAGGUCCCGGGCGCCUCGGCAGAGAAGGACGGGUGAGACUGGAAACCAGGAGGGAAAGAACCCGAAGUGCCCCGGGCCCAGCACCUCCCAGAGAGGCGGGGUCAAGCGGGUGGGAGGAGUCCCUGUGGGCGGGGCUCUCGCCUCCUGGGCCUCCCUGGAGUGGCUUCCUCUCUGCCCCGCACCACACUCCCGCUCUCCCCUCCUCUACUCCUUCUCCUCAGGCUGAAGGCGGAGCUGGAGAAACUCGGGGGCAGGUCCCCGCCCAGGCCCAGAACACCCCAGAAGUCGGAGCCAGCAAAUGAAAGGUAGAGCUCAGGAUGCUGGCAGGACAGGCCGCGAAGAGCGGGCGGGAUGUCCCCGGAAUCCCUCAGGGGGUGGGGGGUGGUGAGCAGGUGCGGGGCGUCCCCGGGGGGUGGGGACAGGGAAAAGGCGGCACGGGCCAGCGUGGACGGGCACCAGGGUCCCGCAGCCUGAUUUCCGGCCCCUACAGGCCGGCCGGCAAUUCCCCAGUAGGAGCGACCUGGCACUACCGGCGGAGCUGGCCCUGACGCCCCCCUAGGUCAGUAGGAUCCACCGGUCCUCCCUCCCUUCAAGGCCCGCCCGGAAAUAAAGGCGACGUUUAACCGACUGCCCUGCACCUCUCCGGCUGAGUCUGUGCUCCGGGAACCAUCGGGGACCGUGUGGUUCCUUUCCGCUCUCCCAGGGAAGGGG